rnacentral:misc_RNA from 1 species
AACGUAGGACGCAAGCGUUAUCCGGAGUUACUGGGCGUAAAGGGCGGGCAGGCUGCCGCGCCAGUCGGACGUGAAAGCUCCCGGCUCAACCGGGAGAGGCCGUUCGAAACUGCGCGGCUGGAGGGCAGCAGAGGUGUGUGGAAUUCCGGGUGGAGUGGUGAAAUGCGUAGAGAUCCGGAGGAACACCAGAGGCGAAGGCGGCACACUGGGCUGCCCCUGACGCUGAACCGCGAAAGCCAGGGGAGCGAACGGG